CAGUCGCCGCGGUAAUACAGAGGGUGCAAGCGUUAAUCGGAAUUACUGGGCGUAAAGCGCGCGUAGGUGGUUUGUUAAGUUGGAUGUGAAAUCCCCGGGCUCAACCUGGGAACUGCAUCCAAAACUGGCAAGCUAGAGUAUGGUAGAGGGUGGUGGAAUUUUCUGUGUAGCGGUGAAAUGCGUAGAUAUAGGAAGGAACACCAGUGGCGAAGGCGACCACCUGGACUGAUACUGACACUGAGGUGCGAAAGCGUGGGGAGCAAACAGGAUUAGAUACCCCAGUAGUCCCUGUCUCUUAUAC
rnacentral:rRNA from 1 species